AUAUCACAUUGAAUCUGUUAAAAACUAAAUAGAAAUUAAAAUUAAAAAGUUAAAAAAAGGAAAAAUUCCAAAGUGCAAUUGCCUAUGUUCAUAUCUUUCCUUUAUGUGUAAUUUGGUAUGAGAAAUAUUCUUGAUUUAAGUUCUGUCAAAUUUCUUUAUUUUCUUUUGUAGUUGUAUAUGUAAAGGUCAGUUUACCAUAGAUUCCUGCAUACCGUUUUGUCACUAAUACUGCUUCUAUAAAAGUAUUCACAUCUAUUCAAUAUCAUAUUGUCAACCAAACUGUCAGCCAAUUAUAGUCCUGAAAACAUUGCUCACCUUUCAUUUAGAAGUCAUGAAGUUGCUCAUAUUUCUCUAAGCUGUCUAAUUCUUUCAAGGUACCUGGUUAGUACAAUUAUGUUGCUAUUGUGGAAUCUUUCAGAUGCUCAAGUUUACUUUUUCCCAUCAUGUCUCUCUGUCCCCGUUCCCUGUCUCUGUCUCAAACAUUUUCCUGUCUUCUUCUCAUUUCCCACUAUCUAUUCAAAUGUUGCCUGUCAUUUUAUACAACUUUCUCCCGUCUCCUGCUCCCCCUCUUGCAUGUUUUUCUGCCCCGUUGUCUGUCUCUCCCCCUCAUCACCUGUUUGGCUUCUACCUAUUGCCUGUCUCUCUACUGAUGUCAUAUGUUUAUCCCUGUCAUUGUUGCCUCUUUCUCUUCUGUCAUCUGUGUAUCUCUCACUUUUUGGUCUCUUUCCCCAUCCCCUGUCACUCCCUCUGUCAUCUGUCUCUUUAUCUGUUGCCUGUCUAUCCCACUUUCCCUGUCUCUCUAUUCUUGGUUGUUUGUCUAUCUCCCAAUUUCACCUCUCUGCCUCUCCCUGUCAUCUAUCUCUCUUGCCCACUGCCACCUGUCUAUUCUUAAUAUUACCUGUCUCUAUCUACUACUGCCAUGUGUUUAUCUCUCCAUUUACUGCCUGUCUCUCUCUCCCACUGAAAUCUGCAUCUAUUCCCAUUUGUUCUCUCUCUCUCUCCCCUGUUACCUGUCUCUCUGUCCCAAAUUUUGCCUUUCUCACUCUCUCCUACUUUUGCCUGUCUCUCUGCCCCUCUGCCAUCUGUUUUUCUAUUUCCCUGUUGCUAAUCCCUUGGUCUCUAUGCCACAUCCUUCUCUCUGCCACUAUGCUCAGUCUUUAUCUUUCCUCUAUCAUGUGUUUCUCUUCUGUUUUGUUAUCUGUCUCUCUCUCCCACUGUCACCUGUCUAUCUCCAUCACCAGUCUCUCUCCACUGUUACCAAUCUCUUCAAUGGCUCCUGUCUGUCUUCCCUUGUUGCCUAUAUCUCUCAGCCUGUCACUCGUCUGUCUCUCCCUACUAGCUGUCUCUCUCNNNNNNNNNNNNNNNNNNNNNNNNNNNNNNNNNNNNNNNNNNNNNNNNNNNNNNNNNNN
rnacentral:lncRNA from 1 species